CCAGGACUAAACCAGGACUAAACCAGGACUAAACCAGGUCUAAACCAGGUCUAAACCAGGACUAAACCAGGACUAAACCAGGACUAGACCAGGACUAAACCAGGACUAAACCAGGACUAAACCAGGACUAAACCAGGUCUAAACCAGGUCUAAACCAGGUCUAAACCAGGACUAAACCAGGACUAAACCGGGUCUAAACCAGGUCUAAACCAGGACUAAACCAGGACUAAACCAGGUCUAAACCAGGACUAAACCAGGACUAAACCAGGUCUAAACCAGGACUAAACCAGGACUAAACCAGGACUAAAGCAGGACUAAACCAGGUCUAAACCAGGACUAAACCAGGUCUAAA
ensembl:lncRNA